GGUUGUGGCUCAGUGGCAGAGCACUUGCCUAGCACAUGUGAGGCACUGGGUUCGAUCCUCAGCACCA
rnacentral:tRNA from 1 species